UACGUAGGGAGCAAGCGUUGUUCGGAUUUACUGGGCGUAAAGGGCGCGUAGGCGGCGCGGUAAGUCACUUGUGAAAUCUCUGAGCUUAACUCAGAACGGCCAAGUGAUACUGCAGUGCUAGAGUGCAGAAAGGGCAAUCGGAAUUCUUGGUGUAGCGGUGAAAUGCGCAGAUAUCAGGAGGAACACCAGUGGCGAAGGCGGCUUUCUGGACGGUAACUGACGCUGAGGUGCGAAAGCGUGGGGAGCAAACAGG
rnacentral:rRNA from 1 species